AGCUUUGCGCAGUGGCAGUAUCGUAGCCCGUGAGGUUUAUCCGAGGCGCGAUUAUUGCUAGUUGAAAACUUUUCCCAAUACCCCGCCAUGACGACUUGAAAUAUAGUCGGCAUAGGCAAUUUUUGAGGGUCUCUUCGGAGA
ensembl:snRNA U4 U4 spliceosomal RNA